UCUCUCUCCCAAUCUCUCUCUCUCUCUCUCUCUCUCACACACAAAAUUUUUUCUCCAUUCUCUCCCAACUUUUCCCAAAUCGAACACCUAAGCUCACAACUUUUCUCUAAAUUUUUCCAAAAUUCCUCACCCAAUCUCUCAUCCCAAUCAUGAACUCACAAGCCCAAAAACCAUAACUCAUUAAAAUUGAUGGCAAGGAAGUGCAUGGACCCUCCAUUGCCGACUAAAGGAGAAGGGAGGACCAUCGCUGGCGAGAGAAGAAAAGAAAGAAAGGAAAGGAGGAGAAAAGAAAGAAAAGGAAGGGAAAAAGCAAGAAGAGAAAAGGAAAUCAAGGAAAAAAAAUAUUAAAGCCAUUAUAGUUGAGUUGGCAUCACACCUGGACUCUCGAGAGAUCUCUUACUACCUUUUGUGUUGCCAUCAUAGAUAGGCCUUCAUCCACUGACCCUAGUUCCUCUGACACAGCUAUAAGAGUGUUGAUAUCCCAUACUACUACAGCUAUCACUUCAGUGACUCCAUUUUCAACUUUGCUCCAUUUGCUCUAGUUAACAGCUCCAGAGCUUCUCCAUUUGUUCAGAUACAAAACAUUUUUCUUUUUUAUAGACUAAUGAGGAAUCUUGCCUAAAGUGACUUGUAGCUUCCUUGAGCUCUAAAUGUUGGUAAGCCAAGGAAUGGUUCACUAGGAGAUAGCAACUUGCUCGGUAGAAGAGACUGAGCAGUCAGAGCAAUGAGAUUAUCUUCAUGCCCCUUUUCACUUUAGCUUUCUUUAAUGGACUUUUGAGACAUGAUGAGACUUGAUGAUUGGGGUUGAGCCUUUGCUUAUGAUUGUGAACCGAUGAAUAAGGCUGAGCCCUUUAUUGUGCCGUUGUCACCCACUUCACCAUGUAUAUGAACUACCUUCAACAGGUACCCAACAAACUGCAAAGCCCUCAGCAUGCUUUAUUUGUCUUGUCUGUGCAUGAUAGGAAUAGUAGAAUGACCUCCUUGAAAGUUUGUCUACCUAUUGUACUAUUGCUUUGACUUUAAUGACAUCUCAGACAUGGCAACCAUAAAGCCAGCCCUAUGUAAGCCACGUUAAUGGCCCUACAUUAUUCUACUUGAGCCUUUUAAUUAUGCCACCUUUAAAAUA